UUUUUUUUCAAAUCACAAAAAGACAUAAGCCAUGGUGUCGGUCAUUUCAGUCACCUGGAUUAUUUAAUUCUACACUUUGGGGACUGAGGGUCAGAUCACAAUGACUCAGACUCCAACCACAGUCUCAGUGUCUCCUGGGCAGGAUAUCAGUCUCCGGUGCAGCACAAGUCAGGACAUUAGCUUAAAAAUAGUCUGGUACCAACUCCAGGCUGGAUACAGUCCUAAACUGCUAAUAAAAACUGGGGAUGAGCGAUUUGAUGAACUUCCAACUUGAUUAAAUGACAGCUGAUCCAGAACUGUUUAUACCUUCAAAAUCACUCCAGGACUCCAGCUCUCAGGUCCUGAGAUACCUUCUGUGUGGAGUCUGGAUGUUCUCACUCCGAUCAAGCAGGAUUUGUCCUUGUCCUCCAGUUCUUCCCACCUUCCUGAGCCCUGAUUGCCAUAAUAAUCGAUCUCUGCAGGUUAUUGCCCCUGUCUGCUGGUAUCAAAGUGCACUGAUUAGACUCUGGACCAGGAAUAAGAGACUUUCUGAUGAUGGAUGGACUCAAAAGGAUGUGUGAUGCAAGAACACAACCACAUGCAUAUUGGUUGCAUAUUAUCAGGUAUGUCUGUUGUGGCGCUGGAGACAUCAGUCUGAGAUGUACUGUAAGUCUUAGUAAUAAUUAUUUCAAUACUGCACAUCAAUACAGCUUCUAGUCUAAUAGCAGAGAAAGAAAAUCAAGUCUGAACAAGAAAGAAG